rnacentral:rRNA from 1 species
AGUGAACGCUGGCGGCAGGCCUAACACAUGCAAGUCGAACGGCAGCACAGGAGAGCUUGCUCUCUGGGUGGCGAGUGGCGGACGGGUGAGGAAUAUAUCGGAAUCUACCCUUUCGUGGGGGAUAACGUAGGGAAACUUACGCUAAUACCGCAUACGAACUGAGGUUGAAAGCGGCGGACCGCAAGGCGUCGCGCGGAUGGAUGAGCCGAUAUCCGAUUAGCUAGUUGGCGGGGUAAAGGCCCACCAAGGCGACGAUCGGUAGCUGGUCUGAGAGGAUGAUCAGCCACACUGGAACUGAGACACGGUCCAGACUCCUACGGGAGGCAGCAGUGGGGAAUAUUGGGCAAUGGGCGCAAGCCUGAUCCAGCCAUGCCGCGUGUGUGAAGAAGGCCUUCGGGUUGUAAAGCACUUUUGUUGGGAAAGAAAAGCGGUCGGUUAAUACCCGGUCGUUCUGACGGUACCCAAAGAAUAAGCACCGGCUAACUUCGUGCCAGCAGCCGCGGUAAAAC